rnacentral:rRNA from 1 species
UGGCGGCGUGCUUAACACAUGCAAGUCGAACGACCCUCUUAAGAACGAUUCUUCGGAUGAAGUCUUUUGUGACUGAGUGGCGGACGGGUGAGUAACGCGUGGGUAACCUGCCUCACACAGGGGGAUAACAGUUGGAAACGACCGCUAAUACCGCAUAACCCGCUGGUAUCGCAUGAUACUGACGGAAAAGAUUUAUCGGUGUGAGAUGGACCCGCGUCUGAUUAGCCAGUUGGCAGGGUAACGGCCUACCAAAGCGACGAUCAGUAGCCGGCCUGAGAGGGUGAACGGCCACAUUGGGACUGAGACACGGCCCAAACUCCUACGGGAGGCAGCAUUGGGGAAUAUUGCACAAUGGGGGAAACCCUGAUGCAGCGACGCCGCGUGAGUGAAGAAGUAUUUCGGUAUGUAAAGCUCUAUCAGCAGGGAAGAAAAUGACGGUACCUGACCAAGAAGCCCCGGCUAACUACGUGCCAGCAGCCGCGGUAAUACGUAGGGGGCAAGCGUUAUCCGGAUUUACUGGGUGUAAAGGGAGCGUAUACGGUUGUGCAAGUCAGAAGUGAAAGCCCGGGGCUCAACUCCGGGACUGCUUUUGAAACUGUGAAACUGGAGUGCAGGAGAGGUAAGCGGAAUUCC